GAUGAACGCUGGCGGCGUGCCUAAUACAUGCAAGUCGAGCGAACGGACGAGAAGCUUGCUUCUCUGAUGUUAGCGGCGGACGGGUGAGUAACACGUGGAUAACCUACCUAUAAGACUGGGAUAACUUCGGGAAACCGGAGCUAAUACCGGAUAAUAUUUUGAACCGCAUGGUUCAAAAGUGAAAGACGGUCUUGCUGUCACUUAUAGAUGGAUCCGCGCUGCAUUAGCUAGUUGGUAAGGUAACGGCUUACCAAGGCAACGAUGCAUAGCCGACCUGAGAGGGUGAUCGGCCACACUGGAACUGAGACACGGUCCAGACUCCUACGGGAGGCAGCAGUAGGGAAUCUUCCGCAAUGGGCGAAAGCCUGACGGAGCAACGCCGCGUGAGUGAUGAAGGUCUUCGGAUCGUAAAACUCUGUUAUUAGGGAAGAACAUAUGUGUAAGUAACUGUGCACAUCUUGACGGUACCUAAUCAGAAAGCCACGGCUAACUACGUGCCAGCAGCCGCGGUAAUACGUAGGUGGCAAGCGUUAUCCGGAAUUAUUGGGCGUAAAGCGCGCGUAGGCGGUUUUUUAAGUCUGAUGUGAAAGCCCACGGCUCAACCGUGGAGGGUCAUUGGAAACUGGAAAACUUGAGUGCAGAAGAGGAAAGUGGAAUUCCAUGUGUAGCGGUGAAAUGCGCAGAGAUAUGGAGGAACACCAGUGGCGAAGGCGACUUUCUGGUCUGUAACUGACGCUGAUGUGCGAAAGCGUGGGGAUCAAACAGGAUUAGAUACCCUGGUAGUCCACGCCGUAAUCGAUGAGUGCUAAGUGUUAGGGGGUUUCCGCCCCUUAGUGCUGCAGCUAACGCAUUAAGCACUCCGCCUGGGGAGUACGACCGCAAGGUUGAAACUCAAAGGAAUUGACGGGGACCCGCACAAGCGGUGGAGCAUGUGGUUUAAUUCGAAGCAACGCGAAGAACCUUACCAAAUCUUGACAUCCUUUGACAACUCUAGAGAUAGAGCCUUCCCCUUCGGGGGACAAAGUGACAGGUGGUGCAUGGUUGUCGUCAGCUCGUGUCGUGAGAUGUUGGGUUAAGUCCCGCAACGAGCGCAACCCUUAAGCUUAGUUGCCAUCAUUAAGUUGGGCACUCUAAGUUGACUGCCGGUGACAAACCGGAGGAAGGUGGGGAUGACGUCAAAUCAUCAUGCCCCUUAUGAUUUGGGCUACACACGUGCUACAAUGGACAAUACAAAGGGCAGCGAAACCGCGAGGUCAAGCAAAUCCCAUAAAGUUGUUCUCAGUUCGGAUUGUAGUCUGCAACUCGACUACAUGAAGCUGGAAUCGCUAGUAAUCGUAGAUCAGCAUGCUACGGUGAAUACGAUCCCGGGUCU
rnacentral:rRNA from 1 species